UACGGGGGGGGCAAGCGUUGUUCGGAAUUACUGGGCGUAAAGGGCUCGUAGGUGGCCAACUAAGUCAGACGUGAAAUCCCUCGGCUUAACCGGGGAACUGCGUCUGAUACUGGAUGGCUUGAGUUUGGGAGAGGGAUGCGGAAUUCCAGGUGUAGCGGUGAAAUGCGUAGAGAUCGGGAAGAACAUCGGUGGCGAAGGCGGUCUGCUGGGCCGUUGCUGACGCUGAGGCGCGACAGCGUGGGGAGCAAACAGG
rnacentral:rRNA from 1 species